CAUUUGGGCAGAGGGAUCCUCCUCCCAUCAUCACUGCUGCUUUUUUCUGCCUGCCUAUGAGGAGCUGAACUGGCUGAUAUGGAAGCUGGCUGAACUGGAAGCUCCACAGGGAGAAGAGACCAACGCCCACCUCACUGCAGUCUCCUCUCAGGGAGUUGUAGAGAGCCUCUCAGCCUCCUCUUCUCCAGCUGAAACACCUCCACUUCCCUCAGUCACUCCUUGCCAGCCCUGCUCUCCAGACCCUUUGCUAGCUUUGUUGCCUGGACACAUCCCAGCCUCUCAAUGUCCUUCUUGGCAUGGUAGCCCCAGAACUGAGCUUGGAUUUGGGGUGUGGCCUCACCAGUGCCCAGUAUGGGGGCACCAUCCCUUCCCUGCUCUUGCUGACUGCACCAUUGUUGAUCCAGGCCUGGUUCAUGGAAAGUGUCAAAGAUGGAGCUGGAAAUGCUUCCUCAGCCCCUCUUCUGAUCC